GGGAGAAGCGACUGGCGUGGCGGCGGCGUCGCACCGGAGGAGAUUUUGAAAGAAGACAGAUACACAGUGGAAUUACUUUUGCAAACCACAGGAAGAAAUGUGAUUUAUUUCUUAAAACGAAGAGAAAGAACCAACCUGCAAAAAGACUGAUUAUAGCUAAAACUAGCUAAGAAUUCCUGUUUUUUUUCAAUAUAAAGCUGCCAUAGUAUUUAAAUAUUAUCUUCCAAAGAGUCAUUUGCACUAAUAUUAAAGAAGAAGAAAAGGUGAAAUGCUAUAAAGAUUGUCCAUAAGUAUUUGUAUGGCUUAUCAUCAUAAUAUUACAUGAUCUACUCAUCAGAACAAAGUUUUUCACAUUUUAUUUUAUCUUUAUUUUUUAAAAUAAAAAGAGUAGAUGCGAUAUUGACUUAAUGCAAUCCGAAGACUUGGACUUCUGAACACAAUGCCGUAACUUAAAGGCAACUGUCAGGACUAGGUUUGCUUUGCUUGGAAUCCUUCAGUCUUAUUUUAUAAACACUGUUUCCUAAAUAAUGGCAUGGGUAAAGUUCUUGAGGAAACCUGGAGGAAACCUUGGAAAAGUAUAUCAACCUGGAAGUGUGAUGUCUUUGGCGCCUACCAAGGGCUUGCUAAA